GCGGUCGUGGCGGAAUGGCAGACGCGCUAGGUUGAGGGCCUAGUGGGUGAAUAACCCGUGGAGGUUCAAGUCCUCUCGGCCGCAUCUCA
rnacentral:tRNA from 1 species